rnacentral:rRNA from 1 species
AUUGAACGCUGGCGGCAGGCCUAACACAUGCAAGUCGAGCGGAUGAAGGGAGCUUGCUCCUGGAUUCAGCGGCGGACGGGUGAGUAAUGCCUAGGAAUCUGCCUGGUAGUGGGGGAUAACGUCCGGAAACGGGCGCUAAUACCGCAUACGUCCUGAGGGAGAAAGUGGGGGAUCUUCGGACCUCACGCUAUCAGAUGAGCCUAGGUCGGAUUAGCUAGUUGGUGGGGUAAAGGCCUACCAAGGCGACGAUCCGUAACUGGUCUGAGCGGAUGAUCAGUCACACUGGAACUGAGACACGGUCCAGACACCGACUGGAGGCAGCAGUAGGGAAUCUUGCGCAAUGGGCGAGAGCCUGAUGGAGCAACACCGCGUGAGUGAUGAAGGUCUUCUGAUCGUAAAACUCUGUUAUUAGGGAAGAACAAAUGUGUCAGUACCUCUGCCCGACUUGACGGUACCUAAUCAGAAAGCCACGGCUAACUACGUG